CUUGAAUCACAUUGCCUGGGCAGCAUGCCCUUGCUGUUGUUGCUUUGUUAACUGUUAGAUAUUGAUUUAUAUGAACAUGAAAGGACAAACGGAAUCUCAAAUGAAGUCUCAACUAACAAUAUGACAAGGCUAAUCCACCAAUACAUCUUUGAUUUGCUUUUAAGAGGUUGCAGUGGAAGCGGAUAGGAGAAUACCUGAAACUGGAUAAUUUAUAAGGGAGAGGAAUUUAUUUCUUACACUUAUGAAGACUGAGAAACCCAACAUCAAAUGGCCACAUCUGGUGAGGGCCUUCUUGCUGGUGGGGACUCUCUGCUGAGUCCUGAGGGUGUGCAGGACAUCUCAUGCCACUUACAGCUAAAAUAGACCUGACUAUGUGAAAAGUACCGGUGGGUGUGAGGGAGAAGAGACAGAUGAAGUGACAUCUCAAGAGAACUCGAUGGUUGGCUGGAUACAGAGUAUGUGGGAGAAGAGGAGACAAAAAGAUAAAUGUGAAGUUAUUUAAAUGGUCUGUGAUGCUUUUAACCCAAGGAAAGCUAUGACUGAUAUAGAAACAGCUUUUUCUUUUACAUAUCCAAUCCACAUAUAAAAACAUAUUUAAAUAAUAAACUGUAAGGCUGGUAAACUAGAAAUUGGUGACUGCUUCUCAGUAGCAAAGUAUUUUCUUUAUUGUUGGCUUAACAUUUUUGCUAAGUUCUGCUAAGGGUAUACAAAGUAACUUGUCGAAUUUUCAAAGUGCUUUGUAGAUUUCAAUUACUUAGGAGGCUCUCAUUUGAAGCUCAGGAGAACUGUGUAGUAGGUGGGAGAGUUAACAUCACUCCCCAUUUACUGAUGAGUUCACUGAGGUACAGAGAGGUUACUAUAAUUAACUAAGGAAACUGAGCAAGUAUCUUGGAGGAAUGGUGUGAGAACCCAAAAUUUCUAGUCCGGUGCUUUUCCAUUUAUCAUCCAGUCCUCUGAUUUCUCAUAAUUAUAGUAACUUGUAAUCAAUGAUAAAAUUAUAGGCAGUGACCAAGUUAACCAGUAACAUUCCAAAAAUGCCAUCACAUUUUUUUUAAGCAUUAUAAAAUAUAUUUAAUCAAGUCAGAGCUAUUCUAAAAAAGUAAUAAACUAGAAUGAUCUUGGAAGACUGACAGCCAGAGUCCCCAUAUAGAUCUGAGUGCUUAUUGUGGGUCAUGGCUACUUUCUUGUAUCUCAAAUAUCCUCUGCAAUUCUGGAAGGGAGAGAGGGUAAAAAUAGGAGAGGACUCUGGCUUAAAGGGGGAGGGUUCUAUAAAUUGGAAGUAUCACUUUAGAUGGUGAAAUGUUUUCUGGCUAGUUAUGUAAUUCUGAUAUGCUUUUAACUUCUAGUUCCUAGGAAACAAGUUGUUGCAACUCUCAUUGGAGGAAGUAUAAGGUGAUCUCAGGGAAGGAGAGAAGGGCCAGUUGCCUGCCAAAUCUAUGAUCAAGUCAGCUCCACAGUCAGUUGAGUAAAUAGGAGUUAUUAUAUAUAUGAGAGGUUUUGGCCAGGGAAAAGGUAUAAAUAGAUUAAGUAAAUUGACAAAGAACGACGUAUCGGGCCAUUAGGCAAAACUCAUGUGUUCUGCAUAACACAAAUAUCAACAUAAAUGCAAGUCAUCUUAGCUACACAUUUAAUUUUCAAGUGCUAACAAAAUGGGGCUCGAUUUCAAGUAAUAUAUAUAUAUAUAUAUUUUUUUUUUUUGAGACGGAGUUUCACUCUUGUUACCCAGGCUGGAGUGCAAUGGUGCGAUCUUGGCUCACGGCAACCUCUGUCCUCUGGGUUCAGGCAAUUCUCCUGCCUCAGCCUCCUGAGUAGCUGGGAUUACAGGCAUGCGCUACCAUGCCCAGCUAAGUUUUUUUUGUAUUUUAGUAGAGACGGGGUUUCACCAUGUUGACCAGGAUGGUCUCGAUCUCUUGACCUCGUGAUCCACCCGCCUCGGCCUCCCAAAGUGCUGGGCGGGUGAGCCACCGCGCCCGGCCCGAUUUCAAGUAAUAUUAAAUAAUUUAAUACCAUUUCCAAAUGUUAAUUUCUUUGUGGGAAUGUAGGAAAUGUUUAGACGAAUGCAAAGAAUUUCUGAACACAUGAAAAGACUUUCUUCACUUUGUAUAAUUACCUGGUUUGAUGUUCUACUGCUAUAUGAAAUAUUAUUUACACCAUGUAGUUUCAGAGCCAAAAUUUUAUAUUGAAUUUCAUCCAAAUCAUUUAGUUAAGUUCAAGUUUACAAAGGAAACUGAUGAUCCAGCUUUAUUUCAGUGUAUUGAUUCUGAAUUCAUGAGCUUGUGUCAAAAUGUGAUUACAUAUUCUCUUAUUUCUGCACAGCCCCCUAUCCUUAGCUUACCUCUGCUAAGAAGUCUUUGUUGUACUGAUUCUUCAUUUCAUUUCAUCUUAAAUUUGUAUUUAGGUAAAAAUAUGAUUAUGGCCCUUUUUCUUUACUUGAGUAAAAGGAGACAAUAAAUGCAUGUGAUAAAUCAAUAUUAUUACAAAUAAAAAUAAAAAACAAAUUCUAGAAAGGACAAACCAAUGUUGGAUUUUGUGGAACUUAGUAUGAUUGAGAUAUGUCUAGUGUCUCAGGUGGCCUCUGCAAUUUUGGCAGAGGAAGAAGGUAGAAAUUGGGAGAGGACUCUGGCUCAAGGUUGUGGGGAGGACUUCUACAAAUUGACAAAUGUCACUCUGUGAAAGGAAAAUAAUUGCUUUCUUAUCACCAACUCUCUUACAAAAUAUUUCCCUUCUUACUUCACGUGAAAUAGGGUGCUUAAGGGAGAGGAUGGGAAGAUGAAGCAGCUGGGACAGGUCAGGCUGGGGGACAAGAAGAGUAGGAAGAGGGCAGAUGGUGGUUUCAGAAUAGAUCGCCUCUGAUCCGAAGUAGAGGCAUCAUAUUGACAUUGCGAAAAAGAUGGGAGCUCAAACUCUCUCCUAUGGCAGUUUUAAAAAUAAAAUGUUCUUGUCUUAUACAAAGUAGAACAUAUCCUAAAAAUAUGUUGGGUACCCAGGUGCUGUACUCAUAAUGCUCAGUAGAUAGCAACCUAUCUGACACUUACUUGAAGGCCCCACUCAAAUGCUGAUAGAAGCUGCUUCGGAUUUUGCUGCAAUCCUAUGUAUUUCUUGUUUUGAUGGAAUACUUCAUAUGUAUGUUUUACUUCAUUGUUGGCUUUGUCCAAUCAAUGGUCCAUUUUUCAGAUGAUAAAUUUAUACAUUAAAAUCUACUUUAUUUCUCUUAAUUGCUUGUAUUAGGCUGUUCUUGCAUUACUAUAAAGAACUAUCUG